rnacentral:lncRNA from 1 species
UUUUUUUUUUUGUUGUUUUUUUUUUCCUUGUGUACUCUUUAAAUGUUGGUUGAAUGCUAUUUCUCUGUCAGUCUUGCUAAUUUCGUCCUUCAUAUUUUCUAUAUUCUUAUUGAUUUUCUAUAUUUAUUUGCUCCAUGAACUUUGAAGAAAGCUAUGUUAAAAAAAAAAAAAAGAGGAUGAUCCAGUUCUAGUUAUCUCCUAAAGGAUAUAACAUUUAAUUAUUAAUUAUAGGUUAAAAUAUGUUAAGAGAAAUAUUUAAAACAAUUGGGAGAGACCUAAAAAUAAGGGAAAAACUAGGGAGGAUUUAAUUUUUGAGUGAUGGUAAUUCACUGAUUAAUCCAGCUUUUUAUCACCUUUUCCCUUGUAGUCUAUAAAGUACACGGCACCUCAAAAUACAGAAGAUUAGCUUAUUGAUAUGAUAUAUCAAAUAACAAAAUUCAGAGGUCCCAAAGCAGAUAUAAACUAAGAAAGUCCUGGAAUACAAAGAGCUACAGAGGAUUGUGCCUUACAUCUGGAUAUAAACACCCCUCAAAACUAUGAAUGCCCCAUGAAUAGUGCUUGGUUUGGAAAGAUUCACAGUAUUCCAAAGGAAAGCAAGCGGUAGAAGGUUUAAAAAGCUGAUAUUUCUGCUGGCCACCAGGGCAGAAGAGAAAGAGUUUGGAGUUUGAAUAGCACAAGUUAGGGAAGCAAAGUGCACACUCUGAGGUUUCAUUUAAAAGCAUUCCAAAAGGUCCAUGCUUAGAAGAGACUGUGUCCCAGAAUUAAGGGACUCAUUGAGAACAAAGAGCAAAACUGAAACAGACUUAUCUGAUGUAUCUCCAGACAAAAAGGAUCAGUUUUUAAUUUAUCUGACUUCUGGAACAAAACUCAACACUGUUAAAAGACAGAUAACAAAAUUCAGAGUCUUUAUAAUGUAUAUUCACUGAUAAGCAAAAUAAAUAUAAAGUUUUUUAACACAUAAAGACACAGGAAAAUGACAGCCAUUGUUCAAGAUUAAAAAAAAAAAAAAAAAAAAAAAAAAACCUAACCACACAAAACAAACAAAAAAACAAGCCCAGAGAUGACUCAGAUGUUUCCAAUAUUGAAAUUAACAGAUAAAAAUUUUAUAUUCCCUGUUGUAAAUACAAUCAAUAACAUAAGUGAAACCAAGAUUAAAAUAAUUGAAUAGAUUUAGAAUCCUAGCAUUGAUAUGGUUAAUGUAAAAAUAAUUAUGUUGAAAUUCUAGAAGGGACUAUUACAAUGCUUGAAAUGAAAAAUUCAUUAAAUAGGCUUAAUAGAAGAUGAGAGAGGAUGACAAAAUGAUCAGUGAAACUGUAGACAGAUUAAUAUCCAAUUUGAAUAAUAGGGGAAAUAUUUUUUUUUAAGUAGUUUUGUUUUUGUGCUUACUUCAGCAACACAUAUACUAAAACUAAAACAAUGCAGAGAUUAGCAUGGCCCCUGCACAGGAUGACACAUAAAUUUGUUCAGUGUUCUAUAUUUUGAAAGAAACAAAAAAACAAAGUUAGUUCUGUUUUGACAUGUGAGGUAACAUUAAGUGGUCCAAUAUGCAUGUAAUAGAAACCAAGAAGUAACUCUUUGUAAACAGACUGACGAUUUUUACUACAGAAAUAUAAUGGACAUUCUUUGCUUUAAAAUUGCUUUUUAGGAAAACAAAUCUGGUCUGUCUUCAUUUCUUUUUUUUUUUUUGUCUUCAUUUCUUAUUGAAAAAAAUAAAAGCCAAAAUAGUAAAAUAAGAACAACAAAAACAAAAACACUUGGCUUAUGGAGUAAGUGAAUUUGGAAGAAGGGGAAGUAGUCAUAUAGAUCUCUUUUUCGUGGGUUGCUUUUAACAAAGUAUUGAACUGAAGAGAAUCAAAAUGUAAAUGCCUUCCUUUGAGAAUAGUAUUUCUCUAUACAUCAUGGUAAUGAUGUAUAUAUACAUAUAUGUGUAUGUAUGUAUGUUUAUACAUAUAUUUCUCCUUCGUAAUCUCCAUAGUAAUACUCCUUGGGAUUUUUAAAAGACCAUUUUACUUCCAGUCAUAUAAUAUUACAUGUAAAUUGAAAGACUGGGCACAGUAAAUAUGAGUAGGAAAUUUAAUGUUUACAUUUGGAGAGUUGUUAAAGUUUUGCUGGUAUUUUUUUUCUUAUUUGAUUUAAGUUAUGAAGGUUGGCAUUUCCCAUUUUAUAAGCUAACAUGGAGAUUAAGAAAUGUAAUAACUAAGGUAAGCA